CCUACGGGAGGCAGCAGUGAGGAAUAUUGGUCAAUGGACGAGAGUCUGAACCAGCCAAGUAGCGUGAAGGAUGACUGCCCUAUGGGUUGUAAACUUCUUUUAUAUGGGAAUAAAAUGUUCCACGUGUGGGAUUUUGUAUGUACCAUAUGAAUAAGGAUCGGCUAACUCCGUGCCAGCAGCCGCGGUACUACGGAGGAUCCGAGCGUUAUCCGGAUUUAUUGGGUUUAAAGGGAGCGUAGGUGGAUUGUUAAGUCAGUUGUGAAAGUUUGCGGCUCAACCGUAAAAUUGCAGUUGAAACUGGCAGUCUUGAGUACAGUAGAGGUGGGCGGAAUUCGUGGUGUAGCGGUGAAAUGCUUAGAUAUCACGAAGAACUCCGAUUGCGAAGGCAGUUCACUGGACUGCAACUGACACUGAGGCUCGAAAGUGUGGGUAUCAAACAGGAUUAGAUACCCCAGUAGUC
rnacentral:rRNA from 1 species